CCUUCGAUAGCUCAGCUGGUAGAGCGGAGGACUGUAGCUUAAUCCCCAAAGAGCAGAAAUCCUUAGGUCGCUGGUUCGAUUCCGGCUCGAAGGA
rnacentral:tRNA from 1 species